UACGAAGGGGGCUAGCGUUGCUCGGAAUCACUGGGCGUAAAGGGUGCGUAGGCGGGUUUUUAAGUCAGGGGUGAAAUCCUGGAGCUCAACUCCAGAACUGCCUUUGAUACUGAAGAUCUUGAGUCCGGGAGAGAUGAGUGGAACUGCGAGUGUAGAGGUGAAAUUCGUAGAUAUUCGCAAGAACACCAGUGGCGAAGGCGGCUCACUGGCCCGAUACUGACGCUGAGGUGCGAAAGCGUGGGGAGCAAACAGG
rnacentral:rRNA from 1 species